AGGGCAGGCUGAGUUAUGUACCCGUUCAGUAAAAAGAAAAGGUGGGGUAGGGGGGAAUGGUUGUUGUCAUAAGAUUAAAUCCUCUAACAAAACUACCUAGGUUUUUGUGGGUUUUGUUAGUAAUACUUCAAAAAUUCAAACCAGAAAUUGUGAGUUGCUAUGUGCUUAAUAUUUCUUCCCAUACCACAAAAUAUCUAAGUUUCUUUAUGAGCUUAGUUUGGGAAUGUACAAUCUGACCAAGUUUACAGAAUUAUUUCUUUAAGGCAAACAGUAAAUGCUGAAGUGAUGUAUGUAUUUUUCAAAAUUCCACCUGUUGUGUUUUACGUUUCAAAGGUGCAAAUCACACAUUGCAGAUAACUUUCAGGCCCCAAUGUGCUUGAUAAAAUGAUUGUUUUAGAUCAGUUUGUGUUUGGAUUUUUUUGCGGCUUUUCUUUGAAGUAGCUGAGUUUUGAAAGUGUACAUGAAAUUUCUGAAUACAGACUUUGCUGAAAUAUAAAGGUACUUUUUACAUAGGAGUUUCAUAGGAAUGUCAAAGGAAGUGACUUAAAAACAAAUUUUCUGUCAUUAAUAAGAUUGUAAAUUAUUAAAAUACUGAAUUUCUAUCUUAUGUUUAAGGGCUGUAGGGUUUUUUGUGUUUUUCAGUCACCUUGGACAAGGAUAGGUAGGUCAGUUUCACUUUUAGUUUCUCAUGCUAACAGGAGGCUGUGGUGCAUUUUUAGCAGUGCAAAGAAAUGUGAUAAUGUAAUUGACUUAUUUAAAUCAUUAUAUAGUGGAUUUUUCUUUUCAUAAUUCAACUUUGAGACUUAAACUCUGAGGGUUUUAUAAAAAAGGACUUUGUCCCUUAACCAUAGUAUUACAUCUCAUUCUGUUAUUCAUCAGAAAGAUAAAUGUGAGGUCCUAAAAUCCUGACUCUGUAUACUAACAGUAUUAGUUUGUGAGUUAGGACUGAUCAUGGAUUUUAGUGCUAGGCCCUGAUUGAAUUACUUCUGAAGUCCAUUUGUGGUGACCUGUUUUCUCUAGAGGAAAAUAUUAAAAACUUAUGGAUGACCUCAAUGAUAAUGACCUCUUCUGUCACCAGGAUGUCCUGACUUGCACUGCUCUGUCACUAUUCUUAAUCAGUUUUACUCCAGUCAGUCUUCAAGAUAAACAGAAGGAUGUGUGUUAAAUAGAUAUGCAAAUGUUUAAGGCCAUUGAUCACGCCAAGGUACUGUAGCACAAUUUCAGUACAUUUUGCACAGCAGAGUUAAUUAACAGAAUGGCAGGCAUAAGUUGCAUGGACUUCUAGGUAAAAUCUUAACCUUAUUAAAUGUUGCCUCUUUCUUUAAACAAACAAACCCUCCCACUGAUAUGGCCUUCUGCCCAAGACUACUGCAGGCCAGAUGACAGGGUCCACAAUCCUACUUUCUGCCUAAUAGUCUUAGCACAUGCUGUUCAUGUCAGAGUGGGAGGAAUGCAGCAUUUUGAAUGUUGUGACUUCAUUACACAUUAGUAGUGGAAAGCCCACGCUGUAGCAUAAGUAUGAUACUUGGGCCAAAUAAUCCAUCUAUUCAGUCUUCCCCAUACAACCAAUCAAACUGCUGCAUGCAAAUUAGCUGUUGAGUAAGGGUGGUGAUUGGUUGUUACCUCUAAUGUGGUGAUGGUCUAGGAUUCUUGGCAUGACAUUUAAUACAUGCCUUGCUGUCAUGUGUGUAAUUUGUAAAGUCAAAAUGGCUAAGAAUUUAAAAAUUGGUUGGUAAUAGACUAUGAAUCCCAGUGGUGAUUGAACUUGGUGGUAUUCUGAACAAAAAAACCUCUCAGCCAUGUUCGUAGCUGUUUCAUCACUUCACACUGAUUCCACAGACGUUCUAGGCUUCAGAGCAAAACACAGAAACAGUCCUGGAAUCUUAUAAUAUUGACAGCUUCUCUUUAAAUGCAAAUCAAGUGUUCCAAUAUAGUCUUUGAGGUAACCAGGUAACAGAAGAUAAGAACACAGCUGUUCUCCUAGAGUUUCAUGAAGUCUGUAAACAUCCUGACAUGCUCCCCUGGAGAAUAUUGAGGUUGCCAUGCAGAUGACAACAGGAUGAGUUUCCUUUUCAGAUUCCACUGCUUAUCUGUGAAGGGUGACGGGCACCUGGACUGGAGUUAGGAGACUCUUCUGGUGCGAGGCUGACAGGAAAGUCUUAAGAAUAUCUAACCGAAAACAAGGGAAUUGAAAAGUAAAGCAGUGAACUAGGAGAAUAGUGAAUACCACAACUUGGAAUGUAUUUAUUACUUAAAACUAGCUACUCUUGAUAAAAUCCCAAAAAUUAUUGCUGCUGCUUAUUUUACUUACAGAUUUCACACACUUUUACUCUAUACUGUAUUCUAAGAAAUGUAAUUGGAGCAGGACAUGCAAUAGAAUGAAAUCAGUGUAGUGUCUUAAUACAAUGGACUCACUUUUGUGUCAAUUAAAACUUGGAAAAUGUGCAACACAAUUAUGUGGCCAUUAUUGUGCACACUUUAAAGCUUUUCAAUGAUGUUUACUGCAGAGCUGAGAUAAUCAAUUAAAAACACUAUGAUUUCAAGCAUAUAAACAAGCAAUCAACUAAUAAUUCAGAUUGUGAAGUAUUCUAAAUUAAUCUGUGUAUCUUUCAGUGAUCCCUACACAUAUGCUGUACAUCCUAGAUGCAUUCAUCCUAAAUGCACUGAUGUGGCUAUUCACCUAAUGCAGUUCAUUAAUGAACUUAAUCUUGCAUUCACACUUUUCUCUUCAACCAGUGUAGCUUGUGGCCCAUUGAAAGUACAUGCUGAUUGAUAGGGAAAGGAUUUUUCCACCCUUAACAUUGCUGAUAGUUACUGGUACUCUUUUUGAAAUGUUUAAAACAUUAAAGAAUGAAAGCCAAUUUAAAAACCAACUGAAUUACAGUGAAGUUUGGGAUAUUUUCAGUAUCACUUAAACAACAGCUUGGAUCUGAUAUUCCUUUUAUAUAACUUAAAAAAACCCCACCCAAUAGCUUCAGUAUCUAGUAACAUAUAUCUGUGAUGCUCAUUUUAGUAAUGGGGAGGAGAGUUCAAAAUUGCCUAAUACAGUUAACAUGGCUUGUAUGAACUAGAAUGAAACUAAGUGAAGUGUCAUUACAACAUAUGCUAUUGUGUAUUUUUUUCAUAAAAUCUUAGUCCAUGUCCCCGUACCAAAAAUAAAAAAAUACAGUUAGGUUUGCUAACCCGGAAAUAUUAAUGAAAAGAGACAAAUAAAAGCUCAUGUUUUUUCUUGGCUCCCAUUGGUUCUUUAACAAUAUGAUGUUUAUAAUGGCCAAUAUUAAAGGGGCUAAAUUUUAAAACCUUUUCAAAAAGAAAUCCAUUGUACAUAAACAUCAUGAGCACCAUAGAUAUAGUGAGGUAGACACACAUGUCUGAAAAUGUAAAAAGUUUGUUUUACGUUUGUAUAUGUUGUUACUCUGAAUUUCACUUAUUCAGACAAUGAACAUGAACUAGUCAUUUGUACUAGUGUGGUCAGUUUCUAAUUUAACUAUAUUUCCCUUAACCAAAUACUGAUUUGUAAGAGUGGCAGUUCUCCCCCCCCCCUUUUUUUUUUAGGAAAGUAUGUUUUUUUAAAUUGUUUUAAAAAAAAAAAACUUCAGCUAGACUUAAAUAUGAUGCCAGAGUCAAUUUUUUCCAAACUGAAAGCAGUUAGUCAUGUAUAGACUCAAUCACUUCUCAUUAACAAAUUCUUAAUGAUAAAAAGUGUAGUAAAGAAUAACUUAAAGUAGCAUUGCUUUAAAUAGAGAUGUUUUAAUGGGUAAAUAGCUAUGUGCAGAUCUUUUCAAAACUAUUUUAGAUUAUUCUCUCAGUGUAUCCCAACCUCUAUUUGGUUUGGAAUUCUAGUACUUGUUUCAUCCACAGAUAACUACAUUAGGUCCAAAUUAUGGGACUGGCUUUUACAAAGCUAGAAUCGCCUAUUUACAAAGAGGGUGAGGGCGAGAGAAGCCUAGAAUCAUAGAAUAUUAGGGUUAGAAGAGACCUCAGCGGGUCUCAGGAGAUCAGAGAGACCUCAGGAGAUCAAAGCUGCUUCCUCUUACCUUACAUUUUUAAUUUUUGAGCAGAGACACUUAAGUAUUUUGUAAUACUCAGCAAAAAUACACAAAUAUUUCAAAGAAAUUUUCCCCAACAAACAGCUGUGACCAUGAGCCACAGAAUCUUAAUAUGCAAACUAAGCUGCAACACUGAACAGAGAAUCUUGCAAGGCCCAAUUCCGGCUACCCCAAAAUGGUGCGAGAGGACAGCUGCAUAUGAAGAAAGGGAAGUGUUUCUGCACAUUGUAUAACUGCAUGUCAAAGCAGUUGUGCUUACCUGUUUACUUAAUGUCCCCAUCUUGGGAGAUGAGGUAGGCUGCUUGGCUUCUAGGUUAAGCUCCCCUUGCCCCUUUCUUCUUCACAGGCUUGUGUGCAUGGAGUUUUGCAAUGUUUUCUAGAGCUGCAUUUAAGGCUGACUAUGUGCUUUGUGUUGUGAUCUUCUACUGUCUGCUCACACAGUUCGUCUUGAUCCUAUUGCACACCAGCCAAAAUGUGACAUAAAGCUUUUGGGCUGUAGCAUUACAGCAGUUAACUGUAGGGAAGUUUUAAAAUAACUUGUCCAUAAAAACGUGUUCAAAUGAAGCUUCUUUUCCAGUCUGAAAUAGUAUGUUAAGGGCUGUUUCUACCUGCCUUUCUGGAAAUGUAAAGGGAGCACUCACUUGCUAUUAGUGAUGCCAAGAAUAGCAUGUGAGUAAUUCUUGCUGUUUGCUAAACUUCUCAUGAAAGCAUGUGAGACCAGAAAUACACAGGUAGAAGCAUGCUCAUUAAGGCUGGUACUGUUUUCAUAGAUUUCACUCAAAAUGUUAUUCCCUGCCCUCCUUCCUCCCAGCAGAUUCAGUCUCCACUGGGAGGGGGGAAGUAGUGAUACUUAAGACAGUGUUUUGCUUUGUAUUUGCGAUAGUGCUGCGUAUGAAUACAGAGAACCUGAAAUAGGCAAAAGUUUGAGAAGUGAUUUAAGAUAAAUGUAGUAUCUGUUCUUCUUCAACAUCUGAAAUGGUCCCUGGGUAGAGAGCCUAAAUUAAGUAGAAUUUUGAAACUGGGACAUGGAGUAGGAGCUUGUUCUAUUUCCUCCUCCCCCCCCCCCGCCCCCGCUCCCCUCCCAGCAAAUGCAAUGACCUAGCAUUGCAAUGCAUUUUCAGGAACAGCAUGUGUGCACACUUCUUCCCAAAAAGCCUGAUGUUUCCUCCAUUUAAUGGUAACCUGUGUAUCUUCUGCCUGGCCUGGAUAAGGCACCAAUCUCUUAACACAGAGUUGAGUGCAUAUAAUUUACACAGCACUUCUGAAAUUGUUGGGCCAUUUUUAGAUUAAGAUGACCUUGUAGCAUUCCCAUUUCCUUCUGUAGGUAAAGGCUGAUGUAAUUAGCAGUCCUUCAAGUCUCCAGGUAAAUCCUCAGCAUUAGUUCCUGCUCUUAUUGUCUUCCUCCACGUGCCACAUGUGAAGGGCUAUAUCUCUUUGAUUAUUGAUUUUUGCAUAUUGUAGCUUUUGCCCAUGUGAUAUUAAAGAGGUAGCCUGCAUACACCUGCAAUAAUGCAAAUGCUUCAUGAAUAAAGCAGAGCAGGUGAAAGCUCAACAUUG